GCCGCUAUAGCUCAGUGGCUAGAGCGUUGGUCUCGUAAACCAAAGGUCGCAAGUUCGAAUCUUGUUGGCGGCA
rnacentral:tRNA from 1 species